GCCUGAUGCAGCGACGCCGCGUGAGGGAUGACGGCCUUCGGGUUGUAAACCUCUUUCAGAAGGGACGAAGCGCGAGUGACGGUACCUGCAGAAGAAGCACCGGCCAACUACGUGCCAGCAGCCGCGGUAAUACGUAGGGUGCGAGCGUUGUCCGGAAUUACUGGGCGUAAAGAGCUCGUAGGCGGUUUGUCGCGUCGUCUGUGAAAUUCUGCAGCUUAACUGCAGGCGUGCAGGCGAUACGGGCAGACUUGAGUACUACAGGGGAGACUGGAAUUCCUGGUGUAGCGGUGAAAUGCGCAGAUAUCAGGAGGAACACCGGUGGCGAAGGCGGGUCUCUGGGUAGUAACUGACGCUGAGGAGCGAAAGCGUGGGUAGCGAACAGGAUUAGAUACCCUGGUAGUCCACGCCGUAAACGGUGGGUACUAGGUGUGGGUUCCAUUUCACGGGAUCCGUGCCGUAGCUAACGCAUUAAGUACCCCGC
rnacentral:rRNA from 1 species